GACGAACCGUGCGAACGUUGUUCGGAAUCACUGGGCUUAAAGGGCGCGUAGGCGGGCAAGCAAGUCAGGGGUGAAAGCCCACGGCUCAACCGUGGAAGUGCCUUUGAUACUGCUGGUCUUUGAGGGAGGUAGGGGCGUGCGGAACUUCCGGUGGAGCGGUGAAAUGCGUAGAUAUCGGAAGGAACACCGGUGGCGAAAGCGGCGCGCUGGAUCUCUUCUGACGCUGAGGCGCGAAAGCCAGGGGGAGCAAACGGGG
rnacentral:rRNA from 1 species